GCCGGUCCUCGGUAGUGGCCCCCGGAGCACAGCGACACCGGGGUCUUCGAUCGAAGACCGGC
rfam:Streptomyces agglomeratus strain 6-3-2 1, whole genome shotgun sequence.